UGUUAAUUGAUUUCAUGAUUUCAGCAAUUAAUAUAACAAUAAUUUCAAUUCAAAUGGUUGUUUUGCCUGGUCUUGACAUGAUAGUUUUAGUCUUGUUUCACGUUGUAACAUACGUUUUUCAAUUUUAUUUUAUAUAUUCGGCUGGUCACGAAAUCAACGAAGAAAGUAUGAAUUUGGCUUGUGCAAUUUACGAAUGUGAUUGGUACGAAUAUGAUAAUGGAUUAAAGAUGGAUUUAUUGUUCAUGAUGCAGAAUUGUCAAAAUGUACCGAUGAGGUUGUCGAUUGGUCC